rnacentral:pre_miRNA from 1 species
AUUCUAAUUACCUGGGAAUCUUGUUAAAAAGCAAAUUUUGAUUCAGAAGUUCAGGGGUAGGACCAGAAUUCUUCAGUUCUUUAAAGUUUCCAGGUGAAACUGAU